rnacentral:rRNA from 1 species
UACGUAGGGUGCAAGCGUUAAUCGGAAUUACUGGGCGUAAAGCGUGCGCAGGCGGUUAUGUAAGACAGUUGUGAAAUCCCCCGGGCUCAACCUGGGAAUUGCAUCUGUGACUGCAUAGCUAGAGUACGGUAGAGGGGGAUGGAAUUCCGCGUGUAGCAGUGAAAUGCGUAGAUAUGCGGAGGAACACCGAUGGCGAAGGCAAUCCCCUGGGCCUGCACUGACGCUCAUGCACGAAAGCGUGGGGAGCAACAGG